ensembl:misc_RNA Metazoa_SRP Metazoan signal recognition particle RNA
GCCGGGCGUGGUGGCGCACGCCUGUAAUCCCAGCUACUGAGGAGGCUGAGGCAGGAGAAUCACUUGAACCCGGGAGCUGGAGGUUGCAGUGAGCUGAGAUUGCGCCACUGCACUCCAGCCUGGGGGACAGAGCGAGAUUCUGUCUCAA